AAGACUCUCCCCCCAACACCGCAAUCUACAGAUUGUUCAAGUUCCUUGUAUAAACGUAGUAUUUGCAUUAAAAUCCUCUCUGUGUUUUAAAUCACCUCUAGAUUACUUAUGAUACCUAAUACAAUGUAAAUGGCAUGUAAAUGGUUGUCUUUUUUUUAACUUAUAUUAUUUUUUAUUGUUGUUUUCAGAAAUAUUUUUGACGUAAGUUUAAUUGAAUCUGUGAGUGUGGAACUGCGGAUAUGGAGGACUGACUGGAUUUAAUAUGCAAACAAGGGGUCUCUACUCAACCAUGAGAAAACUAUCAUGAGUGAAGCGAGGAGGGCUUGUCUCCAUCUAGUGAAUUUGGACAAAGACCAACUGAUUUUUCAAAAGGAGGAGCAACGAAAACUUUGAGAAGCAUGAAAGAAGUCUCAGACUUUCUUUUUUAUUAACAUCUGUUUUUGUUUGGUUGAUUGGUGAGUGGGUGAGUUGGACCUUUUUUCCACUUUUGGGCACAUUUUCAACUGGGUAAGAACUUAAGAGAAUAAUACUGUGCAAGGUGUGGCUCUUGAGAUAAUUUUAGGGUUUCCCUAGACAACAGUAAAUAAAAGUAGUAUGAAAAGUGACA
rnacentral:lncRNA from 13 species